CCUACGGGUGGCAGCAGUGGGGAAUAUUGGGCAAUGGGCGCAAGCCUGACGCAGCAACGCCGCGUGAAGGAAGAAGGCUUUCGGGUUGUAAACUUCUUUUCGCAGGGACGAAGAAAGUGACGGUACCUGAGGAAUAAGUUACGGCUAACUACGUGCGAGCAGCCGCGGUAAUCCGUAGGUGGCAAGCGUUAUCCGGAGUUGUUGGGUGCAAAGGGCGUGUAGGCGGGAGGGCAAGUCAGAUGUGAAAACUCAGGGCUCAACGCUGAGCCUGCAUUUGAAACUGUGAUUCUUGAGUGUUGGAGAGGCUAUCGGAAUUCCGGGUGUAGGGGUGAAAUGCGUAGAUAUACGGAGGAACAUCAGUGGCGAAGGCGAAUUGCUGGACAGUAACUGACGCUGAGGCGCGAAAGCGUGGGUAGCAAACAGGAUUAGAUACCCCAGUAGUC
rnacentral:rRNA from 1 species